AUUAAAUUAUGAAUUAACUAAUUUAAAUUGUGCGUUUUCUCUCUCUCUUACUAGAUCAGGGUUGCCUAAACUGUUUCAUAUAAAAGGCCAAAAGCCAAAUAUCAUUUAGAGUUGUGGGCCAAAUGUAAAUAUGCCAAGCUAUAUUACAUUAAAGUUGCUAUGGGUCAUUUACUAAUGUAUUUAAUAAUAUUUAAAGUAAAUAAAAACAUUACUUUAAAUCAUAUUAACUAAAGCAGUGUAACAUUUAAAAGGAUAAAUCAUUGCAAUAAAAACAUAAACAUGAACAUUUAUAACACAGAGGAGUUCAAUGCUGAGUACACUAGUCGAGCAGAAUCUGCCUUUGCUUUGAUCUGUCCUCUAUCCGUCAGGUGACAGCAUGUACAUUCAAACGAAAUCUGAUUAACACAGACAGAAAGAUGUGUGUGGCACCCAAACACUGAAAAGCUCUGCUGUAAAGCACAUGCACAUGUAAAACACAACAUUCAAGAACAGGAAAUGAUGCAACUGUGGCCGUUCAUCCAGCAAGCUCAGCAUCGCUUGUGUUUUUAAUGGAGAAUGUCAGUAAAUAAAUAGAUCAACUAAUGGAUCUUUAUUGUAAAGAGUUACUGUAACCCACUCAAAUUUUUGAGUAUUAAAUAUUGUUUUAUUUUGACAUGUAAUUAAGAGUUUCUUAAUUAAUUUUUUUUAUUUGUCAGAAUAUAUGUAUUUAUGUUUUAUUUUCUUACCUUACCUAAUGCACAACAAUUGGGCAUUUAAAAAAAAAUUUAUAGAUGUAUAAAUUUACAUUCAGAAGUUAAUUUCUAAAAACCGGAAUUGAGGUCAAGGGUGACUGACGUCACUUGUACGCCAGCUUGUGGUGAAGACAGGAGAGACACGUUUUGGCUGUCUUCUAAUUUAAUCCAUCCUGCCAAUUCUGCAUAAAAUUAAUGUCCCAAAUUGUUUUGCUGCAUUAGCUAACUGACACUGGACUGUUCCAUCGCGCCGCGGCCGCAUUGGACUCGUGCAGGCAAGGGGAGUGGCUCGUUACAUUCACUCCGUGAGGAUUUCUGCCAAUUUGGAUGGACGCAUGUCAUCACUCAAUCGUCGAGGAUUUUCGUAGGAAACACAUACACUGAUUCACAGUCAUUGAACUACGUUUUACAUUACAUUCAGGACUUUGAAGUUUCAUAUAUAUAAAUAUAUGUUGAAAUUGGGACGUUUAGACAACUGAAACUGUAUUUUCCUACUUCUGUAUAGUUUUAUUUUUUUUUUCAAAAGGGGCUGAAUUGCUGUCAACAUAUUGUAUUUUAUUUAUUUAAUUUUGUUUGUUUUGAAUACUUGAGUAUGUUUUUAUAAGGGCUGAAAAGCAGUUCAGAUACAGACCAGAAAAUUUGCAAUACAGCAAACUCAAAA